UUGAAGACACACACACACACACACAAAGUGAAGUAAACAAAAAACUACUGGAUCAUAGUUGACCACAAUCGAUGAAAAUUCGAUCUCGAUUUGUUUUCGCGGUUUUCUUCCAUCCAAAACACAAUGAAUAUUGUUUUAUUUUACAGAACAAGAAAAAAAAAUUUCUAAAUAAUCCAGACACAUUGGACAGAAUGUUUUUGUUUUAUUUAUUAUUAUUAUUACUUCUACACUAUUCUUCUUAGCUGUUUGUUAGAUGAUUCUUAUUUCUAUAAUUAUUAUCAUCAUCAUCAUCAUUUUGUGUCCUAAAGAGACAAACAAAGUUUUUUUUUUUUUUUGAUGGCGAUGACUCCUACGACUUUUUUUUGCAUCACACAUCAAAAAAACCACUUCUAUUUUGCCAUCGUUCACCAUAAAAUGGGGAACCGCCGCCCAGUAGCCACAGUAUAAAAUUGUUAAGAAGCAUCAUACGAACAUAUAAUAUUUACGACGAACUGAUAUUCUUUCCAUUCAUGUGUACCACCAAUUUUAUUUUUUUUUCAGUUACUGAACUAAUGAUGAUGAUGAUGAAAAUAAUAAUAAAAAAAAGAUAGAAACGAUGCGGUGACAAUUUUUAGCAUCAUUUACAUUCUUAUUAUUCAUUACAAGUUCAUCGUUCUUUGUAAUCGAAAACAUUCGUUUAACCAUUAUCAUUGGCGGAAGAAGAACAGAACAAUAACAACAUCGACAACAGCAGCAAAUCUUCGAGACAUUUUUAACGUUCAUUAUCGAUGAUUAUCGAUCGAAUUGAUCGAUAGAAAAAAAAACGGAAACUC